UUGAGAGUGGCGAAUGGGUGAGUAAUAUAUCGGAACGUGCCCAGUCGUGGGGGAUAACGUAGAGAAAUUUACGCUAAUACCGCAUACGAUCUAAGGAUGAAAGCGGGGGAUCGCAAGACCUCGCGCGAUUGGAGCGGCCGAUAUCAGAUUAGGUUGUUGGUGAGGUAAAAGCUCACCAAGCCGACGAUCUGUAGCUGGUCUGAGAGGACGAUCAGCCACACUGGAACUGAGACACGGUCCAGACUCC
rnacentral:rRNA from 1 species